UACGGAGGGUGCAAGCGUUAUCCGGAUUCACUGGGUUUAAAGGGUGCGUAGGUGGGUCUGUAAGUCAGUGGUGAAAUCUUCGAGCUUAACUCGGAAACUGCCAUUGAUACUAUAGAUCUUGAAUUUUCUGGAGGUAAGCGGAAUAUGUCAUGUAGCGGUGAAAUGCUUAGAUAUGACAUAGAACACCAAUUGCGAAGGCAGCUUACUACGGGAACAUUGACACUGAGGCACGAAAGCGUGGGGAGCAAACAGG
rnacentral:rRNA from 1 species